AACACUUUUCACUCCACUUUUCCAUUUCUGUUUUCUCUACCCUCUCUCUAAGCCAGAGAAUUUGAGCUGCCAAUCUAAUACACUCUCCAAUUCUGAUGCAGCAAACCAACCUGGAACCAGGGCAGAAACUUUUCCCACAAUCUCCUCCACAUCCAUCUCCCUAGGUUGUGCUUUUGAGGUGCUCCCUAUUGAAAAGGGUUCUUGCUAGUGAGUGAUUUCUAGAGAGAAGGAUCUAGGUGAAGAUACUCCCCUCUCGGACCGGAAUUGACCACGGCCACGAAUGCUGGAUAUUAGUUUUGUUUAUGCUUUGGAAUAUGGCUAUUUUGGAUGUAUAUGUAUAUUUUCCUUAUCAUAGGAUACACUCAUAGUUGGCAACCUAUACGGUUACUUGGGAUGACUGUAUUAAACGCAUG